GGGGGACCUUCGGGCCUCUUGCCAUCGGAUGUGCCCAGAUGGGAUUAGCUAGUAGGUGGGGUAACGGCUCACCUAGGCGACGAUCCCUAGCUGGUCUGAGAGGAUGACCAGCCACACUGGAACUGAGACACGGUCCAGACUCCUACGGGAGGCAGCAGUGGGGAAUAUUGCACAAUGGGCGCAAGCCUGAUGCAGCCAUGCCGCGUGUAUGAAGAAGGCCUUCGGGUUGUAAAGUACUUUCAGCGGGGAGGAAGGGAGUAAAGUUAAUACCUUUGCUCAUUGACGUUACCCGCAGAAGAAGCACCGGCUAACUCCGUGCCAGCAGCCGCGGUAAUACGGAGGGUGCAAGCGUUAAUCGGAAUUACUGGGCGUAAAGCGCACGCAGGCGGUUUGUUAAGUCAGAUGUGAAUCCCCCGGGCUAA
rnacentral:rRNA from 1 species